UCCGUAGGCGGGCGAUUAAGUCAGAGGUGAAAUCCCACAGCUCAACUGUGGAACUGCCUUUGAUACUGGUUGUCUUGAGUUACAGUGAAGUAGAUAGAAUAUGUAGUGUAGCGGUGAAAUGCAUAGAUAUUACAUAGAAUACCGAUUGCGAAGGCAGUCUACUAACUGUGAACUGACGCUAAGGGACGAAAGCGUGGGGAGCGAACA
rnacentral:rRNA from 1 species